GGUAUUAUAGCUCAGUGGUAGAGUGCAUACCUGGUAUGCACAAGGUCCUGAGUUCAACUCUCAGUACCUCUG
rnacentral:tRNA from 1 species